rnacentral:tRNA from 1 species
UAAGGGAUAGUAUAAUAAUAUUAUAUAAAGCUGUUAACUUUAUGAUGUGCUUAAGCACUCUCUUAG